CAUUGUUCACCUUGCUGACUAUCUCAUUACUAUAGAGUCGCUUGAUUGUCACUACUUCCACGACACUCAGGUGCUCGGAGGCGCUCAGAUUAACGCAAGUCUCCCUCUUCUAACCAAGACGGAGGUUCGUUACAGCAUUCUUCUUGCCGUUCGGUCGGUGCCUUGCUUAUUUUGGAUUGGCGGGGAAUUGAAGGGUGAACGACACAUCUUUCUCACUUUCUCAAAUGUUCCAUUUGUAAUGCAUGUAUAUCUCUUAUGUAUUAUG
rnacentral:sRNA from 1 species